rnacentral:lncRNA from 1 species
CAACUCACUGCAAAACACAUAAAUGCAUGUCUUAAAUUAUCCUUGAAAAAGAUGUACAUGCACUUCAUAACCUCUCUUACAACUCUCAGUAAAAAAAACACAAAAAUUAACAUUGCCACAAUACAAUAUCAUAUGCUACCCUCAUUCUAGAAUUCCAGAAUAAACACAUUCAUGGAGAAAAAUGACCCAUUAAAUCCAA